rnacentral:rRNA from 1 species
GACUGAUUUAGUGUUCUUUUUAUAUGGGAGUUGUUAGUUUAGUAUAUUAUAAGGAUUAAUGAAUGGGUUGUUUAAUAUAUUAUUUUUAGGUAUACAAAUAUAUAUGAAUGUGCGGUAAUUUUUAAUAAACAGGGAUUAGAUACCCCUCUAUAGAAUUAAAUUAAUUUUGUGAUCUCAGUGUAAACUGAAAGAAAUUGGCAGCUAAUUAUAUCCUUCUAGGGGAUUGUGUUGUUUAAACAGAUGACCCACUAAGUGAUUUACUUUUUUAUUGUUGGUGUAUAUCCGGUUAUGAUAGAAAAUUAGUGUUUUUUAUUUAAAAAUUUGUUUUAAACCAGGUCGUUAUGCUGCUUAUAUUAAAGUAUUAAUGCAAUACAUUGUAAAAUAAUAUAUUUUAAUAUAUUUUUAUUAAGGACUUAGAAGUAAUAUAAAAUAGGGAUGUUUGUGUGAAGCUAGGUUUAAUUAGGGUACACAUCGCCCGUCAUUUUCGGCGUAUAGCU